CAAUUCCAAGGGAACCCCGUUCACACCGCUGUGCCAAUCGUUCUCGGUUUGAACCCCCAGCAACAGUUGGCGCUAGAAGGAGGGCCCGGAUCUCAGAGCGAUCGUAAUGGCACGGCGAGGUGGUCGUGGAGCUUCCCAUGCUUCCGGUCGCGGGGCCUCUCGCGCCUCUGGCCGGAGGGCCGCUGCAUCUCCAACACACUCUCAGCAACACUCCACCUCCCCAC
rnacentral:lncRNA from 1 species